CAUACAUCUAAGAUCAAAAAACACGAGCGAGGAUAAACAGCGUCGCGUUCAUUCGCUCGGUGCGCGAUCGCGUGAUCCUCAUACGAUGAAAAAACUGCGACAAACACCUGGAUCCUCGAGCGUUCGAUGGCGAAUUUCUUUUUAUGGAGAUCGCGAGUCUUAAUGGUCGUCAGAGUCAGUCGAUCUUCGGCAAUGGAUCAGGCUGGUCGAAAUUUCGCCAGUGUAUCUUUCGCGCUGCUGUUGUCAUUCUCGCUCGUGUAAAUACGCUUUUGUCCUUAGUUCCUCGCAUUCAAUCAAAACGAUCAAUUUCGGAGAGAAAAACGAACGGCUAAAGACGUAUGGGAACGUUCAGUUAAAUCUAUAUAGUCUAAGUUCGGCACUCUGGAAUUUUUGAACGACGCGUUCCAGGAAGCUAUGCAAACCAAUGACGCAUUUUUGGAAUAUACGCACAUGUUGAUUAUAUGCAUGCGAAUGCUGGUAGAAAGAUCAAGUUAGAAAAAUUGAUUGAUACUAUGAUCGGCAAAUUCAAACAGAAAUGAUCCUCCAGUGUGAAUAAAUUGCGGUGACGCAUUGUUGAAGUUCGGUCUGAAAGAAAAAUUGCAACAGGCGGUCCCCAAUCGUUGCCUGCGUCUCAACAUGUAAAUUUGUUGAUAAGAUUUGCAAAUUUGAGGAACAAAUUGGGAGAUAAAGAACGAACGCUGAUAUUAUUUGAGCACAUCCUGAGUUUUUGUUCGAAACGUGUCGAUGUACGAUCAUGUUACAUAGAUCGUUUAAUAAAAUCCGAAGACGUUGAUAUAGCUAGGAAAUUAUUGAAACGAGCUCGUAUUCAAAUAAGAUCCUCCAAUGUACAUAAACUGCGGUGCUGCAUUAUUGAAGAUCAGUCUCAAAGAAAAAUCGCGACAUUAUGCAACAGGUCCAAUCGUUUCAGUAAGGAAAAAAAUGAAGAUUUGAUUUACAAAAUUUAAGAGUUUUGUGGAAAGGUAUGUCAUACCCGAGGCAGUAGUUCGUAUAAUGCAAAUGAUUGCUGAUGGUCGAGAAACAACGUAAGAGAGAUUAAAUAUAAAAUUUUGCCCAAAAGAAACUAAAAUCUCUUUAAAAAAUUAAGAAAAAUGCCAUUUGAAUUCUAGACAAAGUUAAAUUUUUGAAAAUCAGAAAAAUAACAACAGAAUGUCAUCACUAAAUAACAUAAAUUAAUAUUAUAAAGUAGAUAAAGUAAAUUCUCGAAAAUUGAAAAAUUAUCAGAAAAUAAUUAAGUAAGAAAUGCAAUUCAAAAUUCCAAGCUUUGCAAUCGUAAAAACUUUAUUGCUCUU